rnacentral:rRNA from 1 species
AUUGAACGCUGGCGGCAGGCCUAACACAUGCAAGUCGAACGAGUGGCGGACGGGUGAGUAAUGUUUGGGAAUCUGGCUUAUGGAGGGGGAUAACUACGGGAAACUGUAGCUAAUACCGCGUACCAUAGGAUGAGCCCAGGUGGGAUUAGGUAGUGGGUGGGGUAAAGGCUCACCAAGGCGACGAUCCCUAGCUGGUCUGAGAGGAUGACCAGCCACACUGGGACUGAGACACGGCCCAGACUCCGACGGGAGGCAGCAGUGGGGAAUAUUGCGCAAUGGGCGCAAGCCUGAUGCAGCCAUGCCGCGUGAAUGAAGAAGGCCUUCGGGUUGUAAAGUUCUUUCGGUAGGGAGGCGUUAACUGCAGAAGAAGCACCGGCUAACUCCGUGCCAGCAGCCGCGGUAAUUC